AUUUAUGUGUUUACCAGCUGAA
rnacentral:siRNA from 1 species